rnacentral:lncRNA from 1 species
UAUCUAAUUAGACAGACAAAGACAGAGAGACAGAGAGAGAAACAGACAGCAAGACAAACACAUGCACCCCUCCCCCACACAGAUUGAUUGAUUUUAAGGAAUUAGCUUGUGUGCCUACGGAGGCUGACAAGUCCAAAAUCUUCAGGACAGAGAAGUAGAUUGAAACCCAGGAAAUAGUUAAUUUUGAAGCUUGAGUCUAAAUGCUGGAAGCAGACUCCCUUCUUCCUUGGGGAAGUCAGUCUCUUUCUCAGGCCUUCAAAUGACUGAAUCAGAUUUCUUCCUCCUUCCCCAACCCUGAUAUUAUAGAAGGUGAGCUACUUUAUUCAAAGUCUACUGAUUCAAAUGUUACUCUCAUCUAAGAAGUACCUUCACAGCAUCAUCCAGACUGACAUUUGACCACAUAUCAGGGUGUGGUCAUCUAAAAAGUAACUUCUCAUCUAAAAAGUACCUUCACAGCAACAUCCAGACUGGUGUUUGACCACAUAUCAGGGUACUGUGAUCUAUAAAAUUUAGCAUAUAAAAUUAACCAUCACAGGUAGUAUGGGAAAAUAUACUGGGUUUUUUUGUUUUGUUUUUUUUUAAAGUUACUCUACUUUAAAAAAGAAACUGCUGUAUAUUUUGGCAUUCUCAGAUAAUUCUCAGUUGAUAUUACUGCCCUCCACGGAAAGAUUUAAAAUUAUAAAAAUGGAAAACCUGGGCCCCAUCAGAAGUGAUCCACGUUGCUAUCAAAUGCUAUUGAGAGCCAAGGUAUUUUCGUUGCCAUGCACUUUCUCCCCAGAGAUCAGCUUUGUAACUGCAGCCCAGGCCUCUGGGGAGGGGUCCUGGAAUGUUCAGGAAGGGGACUGCUUCCCAGGGUAAUGCACCCUUAGCUCACAUCCAAAUCAGGGCCUUCAUCUGGAGAGUAUUUUGCAGAGGGGCUGACCUGGGAAGGAUGGUAUCAACAAUGUCACAUGCAGAUUUGAAUGGUGUCAGAGAUGGCAGGAUGUGCUUUAAAUUUCAUCAGAGACCCCAUUUGUUCCAUGGGGCUAGAAGGCAGAAGGUGGGAAAAUCAUGGAGGCAGGUGGUGUCUCAAGCCAACACAUAGCACCUUGAGCUCUCAGCAGUGGAGCCUACUUUCCCUGCUCCUGGAGCUGCUGGAGCACCUGUGGGGUGUGAUGGCAGAGGAUGAGGCCAAAUGGCCCUUGAGAUCCAUUCCCCAUUAUGGGGGAUGUGAUGGUCUAGAUGAAGAAUGAGGACCAAAUGUGGGAGAUGUUACUAAGGGAAAAUAGAGCUAGAUCUCAUGGAUGUGGGAGAGUUAGAAGAAGAUAGAUUCAGAGUGGGCAUGUUGAGUGUGAAAGCUAAAAUGUCAUCCAAAGAGUGUUGCCCUUGGCAACUGCAGAUGUGGCAUAAUGGAGGGUGAGGGAGAAGGCAGGAUGGGAGAUUAGCUUCAUGGUUGGAGAGUGGGUCGGAUCUCACAGGGGCUGUGUUAAAGGGUGAUGAGUGAGAGCAGAAAGCCAGGGGUCCCAUGUACCUCCUAGAGAUGAUGAUGAUGGGUCCCAAUCUAAACAUCACCUGACCCAUAUCCCAAUAAAUAAAACUCACCAGAGCUUACUAAAGGUGCAGUCUUGGCACAUGGUAGGAGAGAAAGAGAGAAGGAGGAGAGGAGGCAUGAGGGAGGGAAAGAGGGAGGAGUGAAGAUCUGUUUGACUCAUAUGUUUUUCUUUAGCUAAUUUAGAAAUAUUUUGAAUAUUUUCAUAAUAAUUCAAACAAUAUAAAUACAUGUUUUUUUAAUUUAUUUUUUUACUUUUUUAUUACUCAAAUGAAUUUAUCAUAUCUAUAGUUGUAUAAUGAUCAUAACAAUCUGAUUUCACAAGAUUUCCAUCCCACAGCCCAAGCAUAUCCCCCUACUCCCCAAACUGUCUCCUCCGGAGACCAUAAGUUUUUCAAUGUCUGUGAGUCAGCAUCUAUUCUGCAAAGAAGUUCCGUCUGUCCUUUUUUCAGAUUCCACAUGUCAGUGAAAGCAUUUGAUGUUGGUGUCUCAUUGUAUGGCUGACUUCACUUAGCAUGAUAGUUUCUAGGUCCAUCCAUGUUGCAAAAAAUGCUGGUAUUUCAUUCUUUUUAAUGGCUGAGUAAUAUUCCAUUGUGUAUAUGUACCACAUCCUAUUGAUCCACUCCUCUGUCGAUGGACAUUUAGGUUGUUUCCAUGUCUUGGCUAUUGUAAAUAGUGUUGCAAUGAACAUUGGAGUACAUGUGUCUUUGCGAGUCGUGGUUUUCUCUGGAUAGAUGCCCAGGAGUGGGAUUGCUGGAUCCAAUGGUAGUUCUAUGUUUAGUUUUCUGAGGAAUCUCCAUACUGCUUUCCACAGUGGUUGCACCAAUUUACAAUCCCACCAGCAGUGUUCGAGGGUUCCUUUUUCUCCAUACCCUCUCCAGCACUUAUUGUUUGUAGUUUUGUUUGUUUGUUUGUUUUUUUUUUUUUUGGUCUUUUUAGGGCCACACCCUUUACAUAUGGAAGUUCUCAGGCUAGGGGUUGAAUAGUAGCUGUAGCUACUGGUCUAUACCACAGCCACAGCAAUGCCAGAUCCAAGCCACGUCUGCAACCUACACCACAGCUCAGGGUAAAGCAGGAUCCUUAAUCCACUGAGCAAGGCCAGGGAUCGAACCUGCAUUCUCAUGGAUACUAGUUGGGUUUGUUUCCACUGAGCCACAAUGGGAACUCCCAUAAAUACAUGUUCUUACUACUUAUGCUUUACCUUUAUUUUCCUUAUUUUUGACUUUCCCAGGGCUUGAAGCCAGAGGCAAGGCUGGGUGUGCUGGUGACUGUCUCUUUGGGGCAUCUCAUCUUUGUGGGGUGAAGACUGUGUGUUUAGAUGGGGGGCUCUGGGCUAGUUGGUUGUAUGUCCUUCCUUUGGGCCCUGGGAACUCUGAGAACAAUGGGUUACUUCUUCGCAAGACUAUUAUUUAUUGCCUUUUAGUGCAGAUUUAUGAAUGUGUUACUUGCUUAAAUUUUGUCAUUUCUUUAACAAAAUAGCAGGCAUAUCUCGUGUCAGCACCAUCAAACUCCAGGAAAAUGUUCAAAAGAAAACGAUGCUUAUGGUCACAUCCUAGAACUUUGAUUCAUAUAAAAACAAGUAUUAAAGGAACACUCAUGAACUUCCAGGAUCCCCUUAAUAUUCAUAUUUUUGCAGGUGUGGAAAAUGAGACCAACAGACUGGAAGUGAUGUGUCCACAGUUAACGUGAAUGUUGCGUGGCCAGGUCAUCAUUCAGUUCUAUGUUUCCUAACAUGAGAUAUAAUACUUAUUAUGCAUAUAAUAAUGACGCAUAUUCUGCUCAUAAUCUAGUAAGGGUCAAGAUCCAUAGGUGUAUGGAAAGUUCAAAGGCAAUGGCAUGGAACUCAGUGAGUGUUGAAAGAUGGAGCACAGGGUCAGCCUGGGAUAGCAUGGCUUUUUUUCAAUGCCAGCCUUUCCUUGCUUUUUCCUUUCACACUCAAUAAAAGAUGACCUCCCUCAAAUAGAUGUCAUUCCUGUUAGGAUUCAGGUGAUAUUUUGAUGAUUUUGAUAUUUAAUAUUUUUUAUAACAAAACCCAGGAAUGUUCAAAUGCUGUCCCAAAGCAUAGCAAUGCCUCUCUGUGAAAUUCUAGAUGGCAGUGCACACUCAAGCUUAUACAGUUAGUAAGUAGCAUGUAGGCUGAUAAACGCUCAUCCAGAAUUGUUUGGGAAAUUGAGCCACAGCCAGUGGGCCAGCAUCCUCUUUCCCUUUAAGCACUAAUGUGUACCUUCAGCCAGCCACUGAACACAAAACCCUGAGACAGCCUGAAAACAGUGAGGAUGAGUGAGAAAAAGGAGGAGGGGUCUGCCAGAGAUGCUGCAUAAUGACGUGUGGGCUAGCCAAUAGUCUUUGGAGCCUGAAGGGAGAGGAAGGACCAAGGGUGAGGUGGGGAGAAGACCAUGAUCGAGAGAGGUGACAGUAUGUGCAGAUUGCAAGAAGCACAAGGUGAGUGGGGAAUGGGGCUUGGCCAGGAGCAAAUCAGCGAUAAAAUAUUAUAGUUAUUAGCUCCUCAAAAAGCACCAUGAGUAAGAGGCAAAAUUCAAGAAUGGCAAGGGAAGGUAAUUGAGCUCUAAUUGGAGGCAGAUUCACCUGUCUGCACAAAUUAGGACCAGAGGUUCAACCCCUAAAACUCUUUUGAAAAGUAAACAUUUGUUUGUGAAUGGCAAAAAGGAAAGGCAUGAUCUGCCAUUCUCCUCCAGCAGUGGUCACGGGAGAGCAAUUUUUAUUAGCAGCCCCCUCUUAACUUGUACCACAUGCCUGUCCCUGUUAUCCCUGUCCCCAUUAUCUCCUCUGUAGCCCGCGAGUUGGAAGUUCUCACCUGCUUAGAUUGCUCUUACACACACACACACACACACACACACACACACACACUUGCGCGUCUGCGCGCGAACGCAACCCUCCCUGGAAGGGGAAAUGAGGGAAUCAGUACCAGAUGUGCACAUGCACCAUGGAUAGAUGCUUUGGGAUGCUUACUUGUCUCCACUCACCUCAUAACACAGCUGCACCUUUUCUUCAGUGCUAGCCAUCUGUGACUCGGUGACAAUGGAGUGAGUGGUCCUGCACUGUCAGCCUUGCCCCUAUUUGGAAGAGUCAUAUACUCCAUUUGACUGGCUGGGUGUUAUCCUCUGUUGGCUGUGGAAAGACACCAGCUCCCUCUAGAAAGUGUGUUAGAGAGAGAUGCCCCCAGACGCUGUCUGAGGAGGAAGGGUUAGUCAUUAAAAAUGUGGGAAGAAUGAGACAUGAUGAUUGGGACAUAGCGUAUCACUUGUAUCUCAGAAAUUGGCUACAAAUUACUAAGACCUCCUCAUCCCUGUGUAUUUGAAUUUGGAAAUUUAAAGUUUUCUUUGGAAAGAAAUGACAAGGAAUGAAUAGAAGUGGAGUUAAGAGUUGGAAAGAGGAGUUCCCGUCGUGGCACAGUGGUUAACUAGUCCAUCUAGGCACCAUGGGGUUGCGGGUUCGUCCCUGCCCUUGCUCAGUGGGUUGACGAUCUGGCGUUGCCGUGAGCUGUGGUGUGGGUUGCAGAUGUGGCUCGGGUCCCACGUUGCUGUGGCUCUGGCGUAGGCUGGUGGCUAUGGCUCCGAUUGGACCCCUAGCCUGGGAAUCUCCAUAUGCUGCGGAAGCGGCCC